CGCUUACAUAAGCACUGACGAGUGGCUGGGUGCAAGGACACCUUCAGCAGCAUUUGUUUAAGGAACUGCUGAGACGCACCGUCCAUGAAUUGAAUUGUUAUCUUGCUGGGAUUGGGCUUUUCCCUCAUGCAUAAGCCUACCACAACUCACCCAAGUUCCUGCAAGUAACUCUCCAAAACCAUCCAUUUGCCAAGCUGGACUUGGUUGGCAUUGUUUCUGUGUUCUGCCUUUCCUCUAUCUGUGUUGAAGCCACAGACACCCCCUUUUCUGGAUCCACAAUAUCCAGAACCCAUUUCAAGCACGCAUCAACUGGAGACGAUUCCUUCAUUCAUCAGAAGGAUUUGCAUGCCAAAGAAGAAGUCCAGCAGUAUGAAAAAGCUCUAAUAGGUCCUGCUGAUUUUCUGAAACGCUGGUGGCAGAACAUGAAGAAAUGAAUUAUGGCGGAAAUCAAAAUUCCUGUUAAGUAACGAAAACAAAUUAAACGAGGUCCACCGCAUCAGACUUUCAUCUGGACUGGAUUUGGAAUCACCUUAGUUAGAGACUGAUGCACGCCUCUAUUGGGCCAUCCUUUAAAGCCCAUGAACCCACCCUGAAUGGAAGGGGCAUCAUUGCCCAGCUUAGAAUCUAGAAGAAGGAAGGAGGCCGAAUGCAGGAAAGCUAGCCCACAGCUGGUAGUCCAACAGUUCCUGGUCGAACUGUCCUGAUCUACCACACUCUCCUGAAAGCCCGGGACCCAGUGGCCAUUGGCUGAGCUCACUAAAAGUACACAAAAGACCUUUCAUAAGUCGUGUUUGCUGGGGUUUGCUCUUGUUAUAGUGACAUAAGGAAUGGAGGUACACUGGGGUACCACAGGGCUUCAUUGUCCCGUGGUGGAAGAAGCCUGGUGGCGUAUAUCUGCAUCUGCAGCUGGGGGCAAGGGCAGAUGUUCCCUUCCAGCUCCUGUGUUACAGAUGCAGAUCCCAGCUCAGAUGGAGGCACUCGGACUCUCUGGGGUCCUCUGGGGCUGUGGCUCUUAACUCAAUGGGCAGUUAGAGGAGAUCUGAUCGUUUAGGAAAAAUACAGACACUUGGAUCUGUGUCAGACCCGGACCUCAGUCUGCAGUCAAGCACUCAUGAGAGGAUCUGUAGCCUUUCUGUAGAUCGUUUAUAUGAAGUCCGUUUUCCCAUGUAGCCUCUGUCUCCCGUGUGCAGCCAGCCAGGAAGGGUUCCAGGCUUCUGCUGCCAUGGCUACUUUGUCACACUAGUCCCAAGAACCUCCUUCUCCACUGAUCUCCCAACACCCUGCCUCAGCUGUGGUGACCAAGGAUCUCAACUGUUCUCCAGGCAAGGCUUUGGAAGUAACCUUCCAGGGUCCUGUGUCACAAACAUGGCACUCAACUUCUUCUGUCGAUGGACUUUCGGAGGAGGGUUUGCGGGGAGGGGUAAUUUGGACUAGAUGAGGGUGAAGUUAUCACCAAGGUGUCUCUCAGCCAGGACCCUCCCUGAUUGGUCUAUUCAACCCAAGCCCCACCCGCACAGGUUGAGGCAGGUGAGGUUCCAGGAACCUCAGCUCUUACAGUAAAUGGAAACAUUUUAACAGUGCAACAAAAUGGCUCCUGCCUUCAAAGUGAAGCCGGGCUUGGUCCUCCCACCUCUACUUUUGAUUUAUUAAUAGAGAGCGAUUAUGCAAUCACAAAUAAGAUUUUUGUAAUAUUUUCAUCUUAAUUCUAAGUCUGUGGGAAUUACCUUCCCAGACUUAUUUAUUUGCUUUCACAAGCCACAUGUUUCCAGGGUGCCUUUUACAUCUUCUUAACCUACUGGAGAAAAUGAGUGAUGCUCUCCGUCAGCUGAACAGUGUCCUGUAAUUUAACGUUAAUAUUAGGGCAGGAGAAGACUCCCCCAAAGCCCAGUGACUGCCAUUGGCUCACACUGCUUCACGAGCUAAGGGCAGGGCCUGGACUUGAAGUUUUUCCAAAGAAGUAUUUUUUCUGAGAGGGUGCUGGCCUCCUCUUUAAUUCACUCGAUAAACACACACAGGGAACAUGUUAAAUUUUUCUGUGCUUCCUAACUGCCUCAUUGUCUUCUGUAAAUCUGCUUCGCAACCACUCAAACAUGUACUCCUCGAAAGGGCCCGAAGAAACAGAGUUAACCCAACUUAGGAUGCAGUCACUGGUCUCUGCUGUACCCCAGUAAAAUACAGCUUGCUUAAAACUG